UACGUCCUACGGGAGGCAGCAGUGAGGAAUAUUGGUCAAUGGGCGCGAGCCUGAACCAGCCAAGUCGCGUGAGGGAAGACUGCCCUAUGGGUUGUAAACCUCUUUUGUCAGGGAGCAAUUGGCGCUACGUGUAGCGUUAUCGAGAGUACCUGAAGAAAAAGCAUCGGCUAACUCCGUGCCAACAGCCGCGGUAAUACGGAGGAUGCGAGCGUUAUCCGGAUUUAUUGGGUUUAAAGGGUGCGUAGACGGAAUGCCAAGUCAGCGGUAAAAUCGCGGGGCUCAACCUCGCUCCGCCGUUGAAACUG
rnacentral:rRNA from 1 species